GGGAACUACGUCAGGCGUCAUAUCGCGCC
rnacentral:sRNA from 1 species